rnacentral:rRNA from 1 species
UACGAAGGUGGCUAGCGUUGCUCGGAAUCACUGGGCGUAAAGGGUGCGUAGGCGGGUUUUUAAGUCAGGGGUGAAAUCCUGGAGCUCAACUCCAGAACUGCCUUUGAUACUGAAGAUCUUGAGUCCGGGAGAGGUGAGUGGAACUGCGAGUGUAGAGGUGAAAUUCGUAGAUAUUCGCAAGAACACCAGUGGCGAAGGCGGCUCACUGGCCCGGUACUGACGCUGAGACGCGAAAGCGUGGGGAGCGAACAGG